UAAGACGUAGGAGGCGAGCGUUAUCCGGAUUCACUGGGCGUAAAGCGCAUGUAGGCGGUUGGACAAGUCGUGUGUUAAAGCCCCUGGCUCAACUGGGGGAGGUCAUGCGAGACUGUGCGACUUGAGGGCAAGAGAGGCACGUGGAACUCCCGGUGUAGCGGUGGAAUGCGUAGAGAUCGGGAAGAACACCAGUGGCGAAGGCGACGUGCUGGGUUGCACCUGACGCUGAGAUGCGAAAGUGUGGGGAGCAAACGGGAUUAGAUACCCCGGUAGUCCACACUGUAAACGAUGAACCCUAGGUGUGGGCGGGAAUACCGUCCGUGCCGAAGCCAACGCGUUAAGGGUUCCGCCUGGGGACUAUGAGCGCAAGCUUA
rnacentral:rRNA from 1 species